rnacentral:tRNA from 3 species
GCCGAAGUGGUGGAACUGGCAUACACGCACGACUCAAAAUCGUGUGCUCGCAAGGGCAUGAGGGUUCAACUCCCUCCUUCGGCACCA